AAUAGAAAUUUAGCAUGGUAAUGGGUCAUUCAGCCCAAAUCACCCAUACUAUCCAAAACGUAAACUAGUCCUAUUUCCCACAUUAGGCCUAUAUCUCUGCAAUGAGUGGUUCCCAAAGAGGGUAAUAUUGCCCCCCUAUAGAGGUGACGGGAGUUUCUAAGGGGAGAAUAAAAAUAAAGGCAGUAGUGGGAGGGGGCGCAUGGUAGCAAGGGGGCCAGUUGAGGGAUUACAAGCUUAAUUUAAGAAAUGAAUUACUUAUUAUGAGCACUUGAUUCUCAGUGCCUCAUAAUUGAUUACAAUGAUAGAUCUCUUGUUCAGCCACCAUUCCCUGAGGCUUUAUUUGAAGCACAUUAUAGUUGUUGAAAAGCAUGGCCUCACUGUAUUUGGCAUUUCAUGAGCAAUCUGGACUGAAGAAAUUGCGUUAUUUCUGGGCCCCGUCUGGCCCACGUAUUACUGCUGGUCACUACUGAAGUACAGUGUCAGCAAGUACAAUUCCCAUAUUCUACUCAUGCAGUGCCACAUUUCCUGUGAAUUAGAGUACGGCAUUCACUGGAGAAAAAUUUAGGAUCUGCCCUUUUGAAUAGUCUCGACUGCUUUUCUCUAGCCCGCAGCCCAACCAAGAUAUCACUGCCCCACUUUACUGACCUUCAGGCUGAGAGUCAAGUUUUGUCUGAGUUAUGAUGACAUUAUAAUUUUCCCCUUUAUUGAGGGUGGACAUAAACAAUAGGUGAUUGAACAAACACAAGCGAAGUAUGGACAGUAAAGUGUAGCGUAUCUGAAAUAUGGAUUUAUACCAGCACCAAGCUACAGCAGCCAAUGUGCCUAUUGUGUAAACAAGUUUUUUUUUAAAAUGAGGCCGUGAAACCACCCAGGCUCCUUGAAAACUUGAGGAGAAAUACACUUUAAUAAAGCAAACAAGAACUUGGCUUGUUUUCAGUCCGAGGGAAAACUUUCAGAAACAAAAAACUCUUCAAAACAUGUUUGCCAGCACUUCACAACCAAACAGUGAUAGUUUAUGUGUUCCAUACAGCAUUUCAUUGCUCGUUACUAAAUCUGGAAAUCCGCACAUAAUCAGAGUACUGAUUCUGCCAGCAGUAAGAAAGCUUUUAUGUAGGGUUUUGCAUUAAUCACCAAGACCAAUUAAUUAAUGCGAUUCCAUUCAGUGAAAACUCUGUUCAAAGACAAAUAAAUGAAAUGUCUGAGAAUGUGGAAGACACAUUGUGCAACGUACUUACAACAGAAUUUGCUCUACAGUUGAAUAAGUCAAAUUUGCAUGGCGAUUAAUCUUUGCUUCUUGGUUAUGUUUGCUUUAUAAAAAGAUGAAAGCAUGGUUCAAGAAUUGUUAUUUGCAAGAGGACUAGAAACAGAUACCAAGGGGAAGUCAACAGUUCAGGUUGUUGAGCAAUUUUUCAAAGAGGACUUUCUGCUCACCAACAGUUUUGCUUGUAUAACAGGUGGGACACAAUCAAUGACAAGAUGUCACUGUGGGAUCAUUACUUUCUUUCAAAAAGCUGUACCUAACAUACUUAUUAAGGGUGCAAUUCAGAUAACCUAAGUGAUCAGCUGUACAAAUCAUUAAAUACUGUUAUCACAUAGGUAAUUAAAACCAAGUUGCAUGCUCUCAAUUCCCAAGUAUUUCAAGCACUUUAUAUUGACAAGGAUGAACAUUUUGAAUGCUUACUGCUUCACACAGAAGUCAGAUGGCUCUCAAAAGGAAACUGCCUGAGAUGCUUUAAUGCGCUUUUUGAAACAGUGAUAAAAUUUGUUGAAGACUCAAAUGCUUCAUUCUGUAAUCAACUCAAGAAUAUUAGGCAUGACAUUGCUUAUUUGUUAGAAUUAUUCACCAAGUUUAAUGAAAUCAAUCUUCAUUUGCAAGGAAAUAAUAUGAAUCUGAUCAAUGUCAAAGCAGUUGUCUUUACAUUUCUGCCCAAAUUAACCCCAUUUAAGUGCAACAUUGGCCAUCGUUAGCGAGCUGAAUUAAGACAUGUCAGAGAGAUUUCAGUAUGUUCUCUUGAUCCAAAUAGUAGACUGGGUAAUAAAUCUAUUCUCGAACACUUGUAAUGAGGAAUUAACAGGAAGGAUGGAAGAACUGAUCUUGCUACAAAAUGACUGAGCUGAAGCCGAGGUUCAAAAAUUCAUAUCAAGACUUUUGGCUGCAAUAAGAAAUCUGAAUGCAUCCUGAAAUAGGGAAAAAUAUCAAGAUGUUCUUUAUUGUUUUUCCAACAUCAUAUUUAGUGGAGUGUGGUUUCAGUGCAAUUGCCCAACAUUUUUCAGAGCAAAACAGACUGCAAGUUACUGAACAUUGGGAUAUGCGACUCUUGAGUGACAUUCAGCCUGAUGUUGAGAAGCUGAUAUCACUGCAUCAAGCCCAUCCAUCUCAUUGAAAGGGAAAAGGAAUCAUAAACUAGAGGACAUAGGCAUAAGGUGAAAGGGGAACGACGUUUGGAGGAGGUCCGAGGAAGAACGUUUCCAUGUAAAGGAUGGUUGGAAUCCAGAAUGCAUUGUCUGAGUAGGUGGUGGAGACCCACGGCAACUGAGGCAUGCUAUUACUGCCAUCAGGAAAGAGGUACAGGAGCCGGAAAACGCAAAAUCAAUGAUUCAGGAACAAUUUCUCCUCUGCCAUCAGAUUCCUGAAAGGCAGUCCCUCAGGAGAGGAUAACUUGUACUGAGGAUUCUGAGCUGGAACACAACUGAUAUUAGACUGACUGGCAGCUGUUCAGUAAAUCCCCUUACAAUCCACAAUCGCAGCAGAAACAUUGCAGGUAUGGCCAAAUCAAAUGAGACACUUCUGUCCACUGAGGUGAUACUAGACUAGACAUCUUUAUCUGCACUGAUAGAGGCCAUUCAUAGGAGAUAAUACAAGAGAAAAUGUACCGUAAAUCCUUAAUUUUUAUAAGCGAUGUUAAAGAAACAGGCGCAAAUCUAAGAUAAUCUCUAAUGCUUGGUUUGUGUAAUAAAUAAGAAUGGAAAUUGUUAAUAAGUUUAAUGUCAUAUAAUAAUAUACUCUUUGAUGGUAAAGUAAGUGGAGUAAACAGAACAAGCUGCAAAUGGAACAGGAAUAUUGUAGCUGGUACUCAUUAUUAAUAUUACAAAUGUGAUUCAUUUUACUGUUGCAGUCAAUACAUCAUUUGCUGUAGCUUUAAACAAGAUGAUUGUCUACAUCAAAUUCAUCCUUUCUUACCAAUGGGUAGUGUUACUUUCGUUUCCAUUCCACUCCCAGUCACAUCAGAUACAGAACAUAGCGAAGUACCAAACCUUGUGCUGCCGACUACAUUUCAUUCUUCAAUUGAACCUCACUAGUAAGAUCUACCACAGGUAGUCCCUGAGUUACGAAUGUCUGACUUACGGACAACUUGUACUUACAAACCGAGGAAGGAGAACGCCGUUGGCCAUUUUAAGUCAAAAUGCGAUGCCAUCUGCCAUUUUAAGUUGUUGCCGUUGACACUGUAUUGAGUGCUUAACUUUGUAUUUGCCUUAAAUUUUUCAUAGUAAGAUUCACCCUGACCCCCGCCCCCCCCCCCCCAAUUCCGGUCGGCUGGUGACGCAGUGAGAUCAGUGCCAGGCUCGAGUUCGAUCCAGUGACAAACCGCUCCCAUGCUGGGUUAAUGUCUAUCCAGUGACUCCCGUACCAUCCAUGCCAGGUUGAUGUCGAGCUUGAGACUUGACCUCAUAAAAAAAAACACUGCCACCUCCAGUUUAAAUUCCCAAGUGGAAUGUUGUGGAUGAUCAAAUACCCAAACCCAGCACAGCCCCCACUUGUCACAUUUAGCCUGUCUCAGUGCGGAGGUCCUUAGGACCCAGCGGAGCUCGAAAGCCAGCGCAGCUCGGGACCCGCCGCCCACAGUGUUUCUGUUCCAUUGACGGGAAGCGAUCACGAUUGAAAAUAAAAUGGAAAUAAUAAAGCAUUUGGAAAGAGGUGAAACGUCAUCGAUCAUUGGAAAAGCGUUAGGCUACAGUCGGCCAACGAUCGGAACAAUUUUAAAGGAUAACGGAUAUGGUGAGAAUAAUGGAGCACGUGAAAGGCCCUGCCCCGAUGAAAGCUACAAUUAUUACUAAGCAAAGCAGUGGUUUAAUUAUCGGAAUACAUACGUUUCUUAAGUGUUUUAAUGCAUAGAAAGGUAAAUAUAUACUAUAUACUAAGACAAACGUUUGACUAACUGACGCUAAAUAAUACUAGAUGUACUUGUUCUGAUGUACAUACAAAUCUGACUUAAAGACGGACUCAGGAACAGAACUCGUACGUAACCCGGGGACUGCCUGUAUUGUGAUUAAUUUGUAAAGGGAGGGAUAAUAUAGCUACUAUGGGUACCGUUGUACACUUUGAAGACAGUGGUGUCUGGUAUUUCCCCAUUUUUUUCAAGAGGUCAUCUAACACCUAUUCCAACUGUUACAUGUGCAGUACCCAUUUUAACCAUGUUUACUGCAGUGAAGGCAGUGCUUCAGUCCAGCUUCUAAGUAGACAUUUUUGCUUCCAGCAAAGAGUUGCAUUACUCAUGCACCAUGGGAAGCUUUGUACUUCAAUAAACAGCAAAGAAAAUCUUCAUGACUUGUCAACCAACAUCUCUUCAUGCUAAUACAAGCUCUGUAUUAUAAAGCUGCACUUAUGGCAAGUUAUUACAUACCCAAUUUUCUAAACAUGAUAGAACAUACUUUCCCUGACAAUUCUAUUUAAAAUUAACUCUGCAUUAAUCAAUUUUUCUGCAUCUAGUUUUAAUUUGGUACUGCAAGUAAAUGUAUUGAUCUUAUCUGCUUCCCAGAAAUCUUCAGGCAUUUUAUUGUAGAAAUAAAUGAGCAUCUGAUAAAAUAAGGAGUACAAGCUUUUUGAUUGUCUAUUCCAAGUGCACAGACACCUCAAAAGUCAACAGCAGGAAUUAAGUGGAAUAAAUUGCAUGCAUGCAUAUUAUGAAAUUGUUACUGAAUUUAUUGUUUAUUAUUAAUAUUGGGAUAUUUAUUAUACAUUUUAUGCCAGAGUAUAAAAUCACAACUUUGUGUCAUCUGAAAAUACCAUAUUAUUUAGUCAACUGAUUGAAGUGAAAAGAAUUGUAGAACAAUUGCAAAUGUACAUCCACAGCACUAGAUUUACAUUCAUGUGCUGCUAAAAUUUGCCCACAACAUAAUUGGGCUUCUUUCUUAAGGAAGGGUGCAAUACUGAAGACCUAAAAAUGUUACUUUUGUACCAAUAUCCCUGAGUAAAAAUUAAUGACAGUCAAAAUUAAUCCUAACUAUUGUUGAAUAUACAAAUGUAUUAUUGCAAAAUCAAUAAUAUUAGACAGGAAUUAAGUCAUAAAUUUAUCCUGUAAAUGAAAAACAGUUUUCAGUUAUAACAAUGAAUAAGAAUUUAAGCUUUUGUUUUAUCUGUAUAGAAAUACUUGACACAUUAGAUUGGCAAAGUGAAAUGUGAAGUGGUAUGCUUUUAGAAGAAAUUGCUAUAAUAAAAUUGGUGGCAAAGAAGACACUCAAAAUGGCAUGAACUUCAUUUGUUUUGUGCACCAUUAAAGUGUAAUGCAAAAGCAUAUAGACAACUCAAAGCUUAAUAUCAGUCCCUCCACUUAAUG